GAACUUGUUCAUAUAUGAUUUCAUGGAAGGAGUAUCGAAAUUUAGAAGAGGGAGAUAGAGAUGGCCAAAUACUUUUUAUUUAUUGUAAAAAUUUAUGCACGAAAAGUCAAGGAUCCGCUUUACUCAGUUUACGUUUUCAGUUAGUGACAAAUCAUUUUACUUUAAUUUCUCUUUUCUUUAAUAAGUUACUCUUAAUUGAUUUUAAUUUUAAUUUUUCUUUAAAUAUUAUGAAGUUAGGCUUUG
rnacentral:lncRNA from 1 species